GCAUGGCUUGUAUCGAUCACAAACUAACGUGUCCGAUGUUUUAUGAGUGGGUUUCCCCUCAUGAGCUGAUGGCUAGUUGGUGGUGGUUGAUCUUCCGAUGGGACGACACAUGAGUGGUGAUUAGGAUGUGUUUUCAUGCAGGCUCUGCAUAUCAUACGUCGAACUAUGUGGAGCCAUCCGUUUUAGUAAUCCAUUACGCUUGUCUUUUGCUCGUUGCAAAAAUGAUUGGGUGGUUUCUGUGUUGGCUACUGAUUAUGGUAUGCGAGAUUUGAUGGAAUCCAUUGUGCUUUGUUCUUUUGCCAUUGGCUUGUCCAGUGAAGGGGGAUGUUAUAUCAGUCUCCCAUGUUCCACACAAGUUAGCCCCUUAUGGGAGUGGAUUUGUGAUGGCUCAUGGGUGGCUGUCUAUGCUCUUGGGUAUGUGAAAUAUUUGGUUGUUGUUCAGGACUUUGACCCAUAUGUAUAAUUUCUUGAGCAUGUAGCUUUAUUUUGUAUGACCCUCGAGCGUGUUCUUGAGCUCACUGAGUUGUAGUGCUUGUUGUUCAUCAAGGAGAUGCCGAGGUCUAUGAGUAAUGC
rnacentral:misc_RNA from 1 species